AUGGGGAAGACGGUGGAGAAGGAAGCCGGACUGCAGUUCUUACCAAGGGAGGAGUAUGGCGUAACGACGUUGACUGAAAGGGUGAAGCCAUGUCUUUGCCUAGACCACUCCUCUUUUGGAAAACUUGAGUGGCCUUGCCUGGAAGGCAUUUUUCAUGUAUAUUGUUCUGCUGUAAGCUCCCCGCCCCCCGCCUCCCAGCAGCUCAUCACAGGCAAGAAAGACACUACCAGUAACUGUGCUCAUGGGCACUCCACCAUCGGCAAGGAGAUCACUGGCCUUGUCUUGGACCAGAUUCGGGAGUUGGCUGACCAGUGCCAGGUUUUCAGGGCUUCUGGGUUUUCCACAGCUUUGUUUGGGGAUCUGGUUCUGGGUUCACCUCCCUGCUGAUGGAACGUCUCUGUCGAUUAUGGCAAGAAGUCCAAGCUGGAGUUCUCCAUUUACCCAGCCCCCCAGGUUACACAGCUGUAACUGCACCCUACAACUCCAUCCUCAGCACCCACAGCACCCUGGAGUGCUCUGUGCCUUCAUGGUUAACAGUGAGGCCAUCUAUGACAUCUGUCAUGGAAACCUCGAUAUUGAGCGCCCAACCUACACUAACCUGAAUAGAUUGAUAGGUCAAAUUGUAUCCUUUAGCACUGCUUCCCAGAGAUCUGAUGGAGCCCUGAAUGUUGAUCUGACAAUUCCAGACCAACCCAGUGCCCUGUGCCCGCAUCUAUUUCCCUCUGGCCACGUGUGCCCGCCUCAUCUCUGCUGAGAAAGCCUACCAUGAACAGCUUUCUGAAGUGGAGGUCACCAGUGCAUGCUUUGAGCCAGCCAACCAGAUGGUGAAAUGUGACCCUUGCUACAGUAAAUACAUGGCUUGCUGCCUGUCGUACCAUGGGGACAUGGUUCCCAAAGAUGUCAACACUGCCAUUGCCACCAGACAAGCGCAGCAUCCAGUUUGUGGACUGGUGCCCCACUGGCUUCAAAGUUGGCAUUGAUUAGCAGCCUCCCACUGUGGUACCUGGUGGAGACCUGGCCACAGUACAGCGAGCUGUGUGCGUGCUGAGCAACAACACAUCUGUUGCUCAGGCCUGGGCUCGCCUGGACCACAAGUUUGACCUGACGUGUGCCAAGUGUGCCUUCGUUCACUGGCAUAUGGGUGAGAGCAUGGAGGAAGGAGAGUUUUCUGAGGCCUGUGAGGGCAUGGCUGACCUUGGGAAGGAUUAUGAGGAGGUCGGUAUGGAUUUUGUUGGAGGAGAGGGUGAGGAAGGAGAGGAAUACUAAUUACCAUUCAUUUCAGCCUGCAGCAUGUCACACACAGAACUUCAGCUUCAACAGCUGACAGGCUUUUAAGCUUUCUGGUUAAAUUGUCUUCACUUUUACCUGUGAAUCCUGUCUGUCUUUUUCAUGUGUCCCUAUAAGAUUUUCCCUUCAUGUCUAAAAGUAAAGACAUUGAGAAAAGGAAAAAGGUACAGAUUAGAUUUUCUUUCAUGUUUAUCCCAUUUGUUGCUAUUUACCUUUAUUUUCCACUUCCUCCUUUCAUUCUGCGCCCGUAUUUUCACUGUACUUCUUACGGAGAAGCGAGAUUGGCUGUGGGGCUGAGCACACAGUGGGUUAGCAACCUGGUUGACUCUGUGAUCGACCCAGGGAGGACUUCUUUCUUGGCCUCUAGGCCUCCAGGCCUCCAUAGGCAGGGAUCAAGAGGAAACUUUGAUCUGGAUAGUAUCACUGUGUUCCAAGUUUACAUUUCAGAGUAAGGAACCGUGCUUGUUCCUAGAAAGAUUCCCCACCCUCACAUCCUCACCCCACAACCGUUGUCUGCCAUGAGACCAUCAGCACCAGUCUCAUUACGCCCUUGGUUCUUAUUUGCCAUUCUCUUCAGGAAUUCAGGACUUUUCAGGUUUCUCUCCUUUUCCAGAGUCAACCCCGACCCCACUUCCUGGCUUUAUUUUUCUCUUUAGCAGGCAUCUUCUGACUUGCUUUAUAUUUUACUUUGUCUUCUUUUCAGUACAAUGUAAAUAUCUAUUUAUUCAUUGCUGUAGGUGAACUGUAACCAGCAGUAGUUACUCAAAAAUGCUUGUUGAAUGAACACAGUAAAUAAUUAUGGAAAGUGUGUGGCUAUGCCUUUUGAGGGAGAUCAGGAGAAACUCAAAUUAAAGUAAUCCUUUCUCAUUUACUUCUCUAGAUGAUUUCUUUUCAAGGUACCUCAUUCUCUGUAGUAAAUAUCAUGAACGAAUCGGCAUUAUCUUAGCUAAUUAUUUGUUUUUUAAGACCAUAUUUAAAAAAAAAAAAGAAAAAUUCAGGCAUGGUAACGGAUUUAUGGCGGGCCCUUCUCUGUGGGCCUCUCAUAGUGGACCCAUGCCAGAGUAACCUGCAGCCUCGAACCAUUGCCCAGCCCCUUACCUGUGGGUUGCGAGCACUGAAGGGGGUUGUACAGUGUGAAAAAUAAAUAAGAACUGAAAAAAAAUUCUAAAUAUAGGCACAUUAAUUACUACUAACUCUAGCUCCCAUCUCAUACUGUCUGAGAUGUUUUGUCUAAUUGCACCAAAAUUCACAAAAACUUUUGCAAGCACAAGUAAUCUUCAUUUAUUCUGAUCCUCUCGUUUUUAAUAGGGCUUGCAGCAUCUAUUAGAUAUUCACUAAAUAUUCAUGAAUAAUCAGUUGAUUGAAGGGUGACAUUAUGGCUCGCAGCUGUAGUUUGAGGAGUUUUUAAUAGUCUACAACUUCGUUUCAACCUGUACACCAGCCAUGCAUUUCUGAAGUUGGGAUGCUCCAAAGGCAUUAUGGAUUCUGUCACACACCCUAUGUUUCUAGGCACUAGCAGAAACACUAGUUUUAUUCUUUAAAAGAAACAGACCUACUGGUAAAUCCCUAAUGCAUAUUUAGGGGGCAGGGGGAUGCACUGCCAUUGUGUUUACAGCAUCUAAUAUACAUAAUGACGUGCUUCAUGUCCAGCAGUCAUUCUAAAGCGGAUACAAUAUGCUCUUCUUUCAUUACAUUAAGGAUUUUAUCAUAUUUCAUCUUUAUCUUGGUGUAUCUGGGGAAGUGGUAAACAGAAAAUGUGAGCCUAUGAAAUUGGAAUCCAGAAGCAAUAUUUAGUUUAUUUUUAAGUUAUUGUAGGCGAGUCUUUCCAGUUAAUUAAGGUUUUAUCUUAGGACGUGGAUUAUGCCUGCAUGUGCAAACAUACUCAGAAAAGCCAAAAAGCAACCAACAAGCAAACACUUCCAGGAUGUAUUUGUUCAUAAAGGAGCCUCUCAAGAAUCUCAGAUCUCAUUUACUCCUGUUUCAGGCAGUUCUAGCAGGUAUCGGAGUUUCCUGGCCUGUGACAGUUGAUUAGAAGCAACAAAUUAGAAAAAUUUCAAGCAGCACUGUUAGAGACAGGAAGGCUGACAGUUCCAAGAGGGGACAGCUUUUGGUAAAGCUGUUAGUGGUAGGGAAAAAGCAAACCUAAAAGCAGACAGAGUUUUAAGAGUUGUUUUGGAGUCCUUGUCUUUAGCAUACUCCAGGCGUACUCAUGAUCAUCAGCCUAUUAAACCACAGUACUCUAAUCUUAAUAAUAAUCCAGAGGAUUAUUUUUAAAAGUAAAUUAUGCUAAAUGUACUCUAACAAGAUAGGCAUUUCCAACAACAAAAAAAAUGUUAAAUUAUGCUGGAUAAAUACAUGAAGCAUUGUCAUACCCAAACUAUUGCAUAUGAUAUGUUCUUAUCUUUUAACUUGCAAAGGGCCCCUUUGAAGAAGUUUUGCUAUAGUUUAAGUUCAUAGUUCAGCCUGUUAGUGCUGCUGGUUCUGGAAAACGAGAUUGACGAUGACUCAAGUGAACCUGUGUGACUGGGCAGAAGAAAAUUCCUCGCAUCUCUGUGCUGCAGGACUUCUUUGCAAUUAGCUUGCAGAACUGAUUCUCCUCAAACUAGUGAUUGCUCUGUACAUCCUGUGAAUUAUUUACACCCUGAUGGUACCAAAGACUACAUUAAUGGCACCUCUGGCUCCACACGAUAUCAAGAACCUUAAUAAUUCAUCAUUUAGUACAGAUACAUCCCUGUGGAUUAGCAUGAGUGGGAGCUGAGUUUACAACACUGAGAUAAGGCCCUCUCGGAGACCUCGCUCUCUGAACAUCCUAUCCAUAAAUAUUCAGAUAUGAGUGGUGUUAAAAAAUAAAGCAAAGAUUACUGACUGUUACAGAGCUCUAGAUUCUUUAGGUUAUGUUUGUCAAGCAUUAGAUUACUUCAAGUUUGUAAGUACAUUGAAGGGAUAUGUCAAGGGGGAAAUCUUUGGAAGACAGUUCUCCAUUUCAGGACUCCUGCUUUUAAAAAAAAAAAAAAAAGACAAAUCAGCAUUAGCAUAUGCAUACUAAAU